AGGAAAAAUUCAGUUUAGGGUUUAAAACCCUAAUGCUGACUGAAAGGAAAAAGUUCAGUUUAGGGUUUAAAACCCUAAUGCUGACUGGAUGGAAAAAGUUCAGUUUAGGGUUUAAAACCCUAAUGCUGACUAAAGGAAAAGUUCAGUUUAGGGUUUAAAACCCUAAUGAUGACUAAAUGGAAAGAGUUCAGUUUAGGGUUUAAAACCAUAAUGCUGACUGAAUGGAAAAGUUCAGUUUAGGAUUUAAAACCCUAAUGCUGACUGAAAGGAAAAAGUUCAGUUUAGGGUUUAAAACCCUAAUGCUAACUGAAAGGAAAAAGUUCAGUUUAGGGUUUAAAACCCUAAUGCUGACUAAAUGGAAAGAGUUCAGUUUAGGGUUUAAAACCCUAAUACUGACUGAAUGGAAAAGUUCAGUUUAGGGUUUAAAACCCUAAUGCUGACUGAAGGAAAAAGUUCAGUUUAGGGUUUCCAUUUAUAACUAUUGGAAGAAGUGGAGG
rnacentral:lncRNA from 1 species